rnacentral:rRNA from 1 species
GACGUAGGGCGCGAGCGUUGUCCGGAUUUAUUGGGCGUAAAGAGCUCGUAGGCGGCUCGUUGCGUCGGCUGUGAAAACCCGCAGCUCAACUGUGGGCUUGCAGCUGAUACGGGCGGGCUGGAGUUCGGUAGGGGAGACUGGAAUUCCUGGUGUAGCGGUGAAAUGCGCAGAUAUCAGGAAGAACACCCGUGGCGAAGGCGGUUCUCUGGAACGCAACUGACGCUGAGACGCGAAAGCGUGGGGAGCAAACAGG